CCGAUUCGUUUUGUCAAAGAAGGUUGAGCAGGAUGUUGAGCUAGCCUUAUGAUGCGUCGUGUCUUCAUACAUAGGCGUGAUCCUUGACUCUCCCUUUGAACCUUAUUUCCGCUGCUAGGUUUUUGAAUCAUGUUUCAAUACUUAAAUCUUUUCGUACUAUGUUGAGCAUGUUUUGGUCACGUUAGGUUUUAAACGUUUAUUUACAUUAUUGUCUGAAAA